rnacentral:rRNA from 1 species
CCUACGGGCGGCAGCAGUGAGGAAUAUUGGUCAAUGGACGAGAGUCUGGACCAGCCACGUAGCGUGAAGGAUGACUGCCCUAUGGGUGGUAAACUUCUUUUAUAUGGGAAUAAAAUGUUCCACGUGUGGGAUUUUGUCUGUACCAUAUGAAUAAGGAUCGGCUAACUCCGUGCCAGGAGCCGCGGUAAUACGGAGGAUCCGUGCGUUAUCCGGAUUUAUUGGGUUUAAAGGGAGCGUAGGUGGAUUGUUAAGUCAGUUGUGAAAGUUUGCGGCUCAACCGUAAAAUUGCAGUUGAAACUGGCAGUCUUGAGUACAGUAGAGGUGGGCGGAAUUCGUGGUGUAGCGGUGAAAUGCUUAGAUAUCACGAAGAACUCCGAUUGCGAAGGCAGCUCACUGGACUGCAACUGACACUGAGGCUCGAAAGUGUGGGUAUCAAACAGGAUUAGAUACCCCUGUAGUC